CCUACGGGUGGCAGCAGUGGGGAAUAUUGGGCAAUGGGCGAAAGCCUGACCCAGCAACGCCGCGUGAAGGAAGAAGGUCUUCGGAUUGUAAACUUCUUUGGUCAGGGACGAAACAAAUGACGGUACCUGAAGAACAAGCCACGGCUAACUACGUGCCAGCAGCCGCGGUAAUACGUAGGUGGCGAGCGUUAUCCGGAUUUACUGGGUGUAAAGGGCGUGUAGGCGGGCUCAUAAGUCAGAUGUGAAAUCUCCAGGCUUAACUUGGAAACUGCAUCUGAAACUGUGAGUCUUGAGUGUCGGAGAGGAAAGCGGAAUUCCUAGUGUAGCGGUAAAAUGCGUAGAUAUUAGGAGGAACACCAGUGGCGAAGGCGGCUUUCUGGACGAAAACUGACGCUGAGGCGCGAAAGCGUGGGGAGCAAACAGGAUUAGAUACCCUAGUAGUC
rnacentral:rRNA from 1 species